UUCAGGAAACUGUAUCAGGAAACUCCGGGAGGAGGCAGCAAGGAGUCCCUGCCUGGUGUACUGUGCACGCGCUCCUUCCCAACAGGAAGCCUCUACCCAGGUGGAUAGAUCUGGGGUUUUCUAGGAAGCCAAAAAGGUUCUGGCCUGACAAUGUGCCACUCACUUUGAAAACUUGAUGUUAAAGUUCCCGUGCUUUUGUGGACAUUUGGCUGGGAUUCAGGAUGAGACUCUUAAAAUUCGAGUGAUUGCUGCCUUUCCUGAGAAAGAGAACGGAGCCUAUAAAACAGAUGCAACCAGAAGGAGUGCCAUGGUGUGCUUUGAAAGGAAGAGAGCUCGGGCUGGAGAGAUGACUCAGUGGUUGAGAGCACUGACUGCUCUUCCAGAGGUCCUGAGUUAAUUCCCAGCAACCACGUGGUGGCUCACAACCAUCUGUAAUGAGAUCUGAUGCCCUUUUCUGGUGUGUCUGAAGACAGCUACAGUGUACUUAUAUAUAAUAAAUGAAUAAAUCU